AUUGAACGCUGGCGGCAUGCCUUACACAUGCAAGUCGAACGGCAGCACGGGUGCUUGCACCUGGUGGCGAGUGGCGAACGGGUGAGUAAUACAUCGGAACGUACCUUAUCGUGGGGGAUAACGCAGCGAAAGCUGUGCUAAUACCGCAUACGCCCUGAGGGGGACAGCGGGGGAUCGCAAGACACAGCGCGAGUAGAGCGGCCGAUGCCUGAUUAGCUAGUUGGUGGGGUAAAAGCCCACCAAGGCGACGAUCAGUAGCUGGUCUGAGAGGACGAUCAGCCACACUGGGACUGAGACACGGCCCAGACUCCUACGGGAGGCAGCAGUGGGGAAUUUUGGACAAUGGGGGCAACCCUGAUCCAGCAAUGCCGCGUGAGUGAAGAAGGCCUUCGGGUUGUAAAGCUCUUUUGUCAGGGAAGAAACACCGGCUCUAACACAGUCCGGGAAUGACGGUACCUGAAGAACAAGCACCGGCUAACUACGUGCCAGCCGCCGCGGUAA
rnacentral:rRNA from 1 species